ACUACGGGGGGCAGCAGUGGGGAAUAUUGGACAAUGGGCGAAAGCCUGAUCCAGCCAUGCCGCGUGUGUGAAGAAGGCCUUCGGGUUGUAAAGCACUUUCAGUGGGGAAGAAAGCCUUGGGGCUAAUACCCUCGAGGAAGGACAUCACCCACAGAAGAAGCACCGGCUAACUCCGUGCCAGCAGCCGCGGUAAUACGGAGGGUGCGAGCGUUAAUCGGAAUUACUGGGCGUAAAGCGCGCGUAGGCGGUCUGAUAAGCCGGUUGUGAAAGCCCCGGGCUCAACCUGGGAACGGCAUCCGGAACUGUCAGGCUAGAGUGCAGGAGAGGAAGGUAGAAUUCCCGGUGUAGCGGUGAAAUGCGUAGAGAUCGGGAGGAAUACCAGUGGCGAAGGCGGCCUUCUGGACUGACACUGACGCUGAGGUGCGAAAGCGUGGGUAGCAAACAGGAUUAGAUACCCUUUAGUC
rnacentral:rRNA from 1 species